rnacentral:rRNA from 1 species
GAUGAACGCUGGCGGCGUGCCUAAUACAUGCAAGUCGAGCGAACAGACGAGGAGCUUGCUCCUCUGACGUUAGCGGCGGACGGGUGAGUAACACGUGGAUAACCUACCUAUAAGACUGGGAUAACUUCGGGAAACCGGAGCUAAUACCGGAUAAUAUAUUGAACCGCAUGGUUCAAUAGUGAAAGACGGUUUUGCUGUCACUUAUAGAUGGAUCCGCGCCGCAUUAGCUAGUUGGUAAGGUAACGGCUUACCAAAGCGACGAUGCGUAGCCGACCUGAGAGGGUGAUCGGCCACACUGGAACUGAGACACGGUCCAGACUCCUACGGGAGGCAGCAGUAGGGAAUCUUCCGCAAUGGGCGAAAGCUUGACGGAGCAACGCCGCGUGAGUGAUGAAGGUCUUCGGAUCGUAAAACUCUGUUAUUAGGGAAGAACAAAUGUGUAAGUAACUAUGCACGUCUUGACGGUACCUAAUCAGAAAGCCACGGCUAACUACGUG